GCCUGGGUGGCUCAGUCGGUUGAGCGUCUGACUUCGGCUCAGGUCAUGAUCUCGCAGCCCGUGAGUUCGAGCCCCGCGUCGGGCU
rnacentral:tRNA from 1 species